GUCCUUUUAAUCUAGUGGUAGGAUAUCACUUUUUCAAGGUGAAAACAGGGGUUCGAAUCCCCUAAAGGAUA
rnacentral:tRNA from 1 species